rnacentral:tRNA from 1 species
GUAGCUCAGUGGUAGAGACCCCGCUUCGCAUGCGGGAAAACCUGGAUUCGAUUCCCGGC